ACAGAUAGUGUCACAGAAAACCAGGUAGCCCCUCACGACGUGUCGCGAAGGGUCAUAGUGAAAAUGUGAGGUAAGAGCUCACAUUCCGCAGCGGUAACGGUGCGGAAGGAUAAACCUCGAAUGUUGUAAGGCCAUGUAUACUUUAAUUUUGUGGCUGCUCGCCGCAAUAACGCAAGUUAUAUUAAAGAGGGUAGGCUGCAUAGAUAAAUGAUGAAAGUUCUGCUUGCAGAAAUACAGAACCCGGCUUAUAGA
rnacentral:ribozyme from 1 species